GGUAAUACGUAGGUGGCAAGCGUUGUCCGGAAUUAUUGGGCGUAAAGGGCUCGCAGGCGGUUUCUUAAGUCUGAUGUGAAAGCCCCCGGCUCAACCGGGGAGGGUCAUUGGAAACUGGGGAACUUGAGUGCAGAAGAGGAGAGUGGAAUUCCACGUGUAGCGGUGAAAUGCGUAGAGAUGUGGAGGAACACCAGUGGCGAAGGCGACUCUCUGGUCUGUAACUGACGCUGAGGAGCGAAAGCGUGGGGAGCGAACAGGAUUAGAUACCCUGGUAGUCCACGCCGUAAACGAUGAGUGCUAAGUGUUAGGGGGUUUCCGCCCCUUAGUGCUGCAGCUAACGCAUUAAGCACUCCGCCUGGGGAGUACGGUCGCAAGACUGAAACUCAAAGGAAUUGACGGGGGCCCGCACAAGCGGUGGAGCAUGUGGUUUAAUUCGAAGCAACGCGAAGAACCUUACCAGGUCUUGACAUCCUCUGACAAUCCUAGAGAUAGGACGUCCCCUUCGGGGGCAGAGUGACAGGUGGUGCAUGGUUGUCGUCAGCUCGUGUCGUGAGAUGUUGGGUUAAGUCCCGCAACGAGCGCAACCCUUGAUCUUAGUUGCCAGCAUUCAGUUGGGCACUCUAAGGUGACUGCCGGUGACAAACCGGAGGAAGGUGGGGAUGACGUCAAAUCAUCAUGCCCCUUAUGACCUGGGCUACACACGUGCUACAAUGGACAGAACAAAGGGCAGCGAAACCGCGAGGUUAAGCCAAUCCCACAAAUCUGUUCUCAGUUCGGAUCGCAGUCUGCAACUCGACUGCGUGAAGCUGGAAUCGCUAG
rnacentral:rRNA from 1 species